rnacentral:rRNA from 1 species
CCUACGGGGGGCAGCAGUGAGGAAUAUUGGUCAAUGGACGAGAGUCUGAACCAGCCAAGUAGCGUGAAGGAUGACUGCCCUAUGGGUUGUAAACUUCUUUUAUAUGGGAAUAAAAUGUUCCACGUGUGGGAUUUUGUAUGUACCAUAUGAAUAAGGAUCGGCUAACUCCGUGCCAGCAGCCGCGGUAAUACGGAGGAUCCGAGCGUUAUCCGGAUUUAUUGGGUUUAAGGGGAGCGUAGGUGGAUUGUUAAGUCAGUUGUGAAAGUUUGCGGCUCAACCGUAAAAUUGCAGUUGAAACUGGCAGUCGUGAGUACAGUAGAGGUGGGCGGAAUUCGUGGUGUAGCGGUGAAAUGCUUAGAUAUCACGAAGAACUCCGAUUGCGAAGGCAGCUCACUGGACUGCAACUGACACUGAGGCUCGAAAGUGUGGGUAUCAAACAGGAUUAGAUACCCUAGUAGUC